rnacentral:rRNA from 1 species
UACGUAGGGGGCUAGCGUUGUCCGGAAUCAUUGGGCGUAAAGAGCGUGUAGGCGGCUUGGUAAGUCCGCUGUGAAAGUCCAGGGCUUAACCCUGGAAAGCCAGUGGAAACUGUCAAGCUAGAGUCCGGAAGAGGUGAGUGGAACUCCUGGUGUAGCGGUGAAAUGCGCAGAUAUCAGGAGGAACACCGAUGGCGAAGGCAGGUCUCUGGGCCACUACUGACGCUGAGAAGCGAAAGCAUGGGGAGCGAACAGG